rnacentral:lncRNA from 1 species
CUGCUGGAGACUAACUAUGAGCUACUAACACACGGGUGGAAGAUUAGCUUUUGCAACACUCGGUUUGCAUGUACUGAAAGUCAUCUGUCUUCUGAGUCAACAUUCCCGGCCUGGUAAAGAACCUGAUCAGGGCUCUGGUGCACGAACUGUAGGUAAGGGAGAUGCACAAUUGGUGGGUGUGCCGCUGCCAUGGGAUCCUUCUGUUUUCACUAUCAGCAUGACAGGUUACCUGUUUCAGAUCUUCUGGGUUGCAUGUCUACCUUUACAACAACGCACAAGCAUCCUGCACUAAAACUGCUGAGGCUGGCAGGUAAACUUUAGUUCCUUCUACUCAGAAUACAGUGAUGUCUUGGCCAGAUCUCAGAGGGGGAGAUGUGGUAUAGAAUUAUAUAGUUUACCCAUUUGGUGUGCACACUACUUUCACUCUGCAUUUGAAUAUGUAGAGAGUUACUGUUUUUCCCAAAUGUGAACUCAAAUAAUUGGUUCGCUUAUUUUGGGGCAUGGUGAUUUCAC